rnacentral:rRNA from 1 species
UAUCUGGUUGAUUCCUGCCAGUAGUCAAUAUGGCUUGUCUCAUCCAAAGAUAAGCC